UUACUUUUGUUUAUAAAUAACUCUGAGAACAGUUUUUAUAUUUUAUUUUCACAUUGAAAGUCAGUCAGAUUUGCUUCUGCCUCAAAGAGUGUGUUUAUGUAACAUUAAAUGAGCCCUGGCGGCAAACUAGUUUUUUUU